rnacentral:misc_RNA from 1 species
AGAAGAGGAAGAAGAAGAAGAUGGGUUCUUAGAGGGAUUGUUGCCAGUUUUGGAAUUGGAGGAGAGAUUCUUGUCGUAGAUGUGAUUGAAAUUGAUGGAAGUGUAUUUGUUGGUUUUUGCCAUCCACCACCACCAAUAUGGAACUUUGAAGCUGUUGGAAUUUGUGGGCUUGAUCAGAAACAGGGGAAUUAAGAAGUUUUUGAGAGGAUCUGGAAGAAGAAGAAGAAGGAGAAAA